ensembl:lncRNA
GGCAAUUGUUGCAUCCAGUGGGGACAUAAUUACGGAUUAUAAUGACUGUCUUUUUACACGUUGCAUUGCAUCGCACCCCAUAAACAUAAAACAAUGUCUGCAUUUGUGAUCGGAGAAAUUACAAACAACAAGUGCUACUCCUCACUGCUCAGAACUCGUGUUUGAAUAGUCAGUGGCAAAUUGUUUAAAUUUGAAAACGUACUUACAGUCUGUGAGUCAGAACAAACGGCAUUGUAGUCUACUAUCCCAGGAUCAGGAAACAGUCUUUCAUAAAAUGUGCUGCACACGUCUGAAUAUUUGAGUUCUGGAACAGUGUUGUAAAUACAACUUAACCACUUCUAGUUGUGUCCUCUUUUGCAAGGCCCAACUAAGUAUUUUCGCUUUCACAAUGAAACAGCGUCUCCACAACAUGGCGGCAGCGGCGGUGGCAGCAACAAUAAAGUUACGCCUUCUUUCUUUGAGUGAACAUUUGGACGGCAUUAUGGAAAAAUUCCUACAUCGUGAUGUAGACAUGUAGGGGCGUGUUUAAACGAGCCGUUUUAGGAAGGCGUGGUCGAGUCUUAACUUUUAUAAAGAAUGUCUCUUUGGGUUUAAGACUUUAGUCUCUGCACCUUUAGGGAUCUUAUCUAUUCACCAACAGCUUGUAACACUCCAAAGAGAAAGGAAAACUUGAAAUCGCAUCAUAUGACCCCUUAAAAAUAUAUAUUGUCACGGGCUGAAGAAUCACACGACAGGGGUUAGUGCAAAAGUGAAGCCCCGGAGGGUGUAUUUAUUGAAAGGUGCUUUGCUUGGUGCUGAAUCCUGUGGUGUCCAGUGCUCGUCCUCGGUGCCACGUGAUCCUGUUUGCCGGCCGGCUGAGUGCACUGGGACUUGGUGUCCGGUGCUCGGGUGGCGGGCUGGUCGAUCCGCAGCUUCUGGAGGGAUAAGAGACACAACGUUAGUUUCAGUCAUCGGAAGAUCCUCUCUUCCCUGUGUCACCUUCAGGCGCAGCGUUUAUAGUCCUCUCCUCAUCCGUUUCAGCUGGGACCGAUCAGCCCGCUGUGAUUGCGUGCAGGUGAAUCUCCCUCGUUGCCAGGGCGGCGCUGAUAGGUGCCCAG